CGCCUCUGAUAUCCUCUGCCGGAGCUCCAGCGAUGGAGCAUUGUGGUCCACAAGGCUCGGGUUCUCUCUCAGGAUGUCCUCCGUGAGAUGCAGCUUUUUGAUUUCAGGGUUUUCCUCCACAUUGCGUCAUCGUCUUCUAGCGUACAGGGACGUCUAACGAAUAUCUAAAUUAAAAAAAUAAAAGUAAAUAAUUUAGCCAUAUGCAACAUCGUGUGUCUUCUGACUUGACAUCAUCUAGUCUGAUGCCUAGAUGUCGAGUUAGCAUAAUCUGAUUUCCUAUAGUAUUAGUAUAGUAAUGUCUUUUUAGAUAACUGCGGUCAUAAGAUAUAUAAGAAAGGGUUUAUAACAAAUAAGAUUAUGAUUUCAGCUU